rnacentral:rRNA from 1 species
AUAGCGUAUAUUAAAGUUGUUGCAGUUAAAAAGCUCGUAGUUGAACCUUGGGCUUGGUUGGCCGGUCCGCCUUUUCGGCGUGUACUGGACCCAACCGAGCCUUUCCUUCUGGCUAACCUCUCGCCCUUGUGGUGUUUGGCGAACCAGGACUUUUACUUUGAAAAAAUUAGAGUGUUCAAAGCAGGCCUUUGCUCGAAUAUAUUAGCAUGGAAUAAUAGAAUAGGACGUUAUGGUUCUAUUUUGUUGGUUUCUAGGACCAUCGUAAUGAUUAAUAGGGACGGUCGGGGGCAUCAGUAUUCAGUUGUCAGAGGUGAAAUUCUUGGAUUUACUGAAGACUAACUACUG